rnacentral:rRNA from 1 species
CAUGCAAGUCGAGCGAAGCACUUUGCUUAGAUUCUUCGGAUGAAGAGGAUUGUGACUGAGCGGCGGACGGGUGAGUAACGCGUGGGUAACCUGCCUCAUACAGGGGGAUAACAGUUAGAAAUGACUGCUAAUACCGCAUAAGACCACAGCACCGCAUGGUGCGGGGGUAAAAACUCCGGUGGUAUGAGAUGGACCCGCGUCUGAUUAGCUAGUUGGUAAGGUAACGGCUUACCAAGGCGACGAUCAGUAGCCGACCUGAGAGGGUGACCGGCCACAUUGGGACUGAGACACGGCCCAAACUCCUACGGGAGGCAGCAGUGGGGAAUAUUGCACAAUGGGGGAAACCCUGAUGCAGCGACGCCGCGUGAGCGAAGAAGUAUUUCGGUAUGUAAAGCUCUAUCAGCAGGGAAGAAAAUGACGGUACCUGACUAAGAAGCACCGGCUAAAUACGUGCCAGCAGCCGCGGUAAUACGUAUGGUGCAAGCGUUAUCCGGAUUUACUGGGUGUAAAGGGAGCGUAGACGGAUGGGCAAGUCUGAUGUGAAAACCCGGGGCUCAACCCCGGGACUGCAUUGGAAACUGUCAUACUUGAGUGCCGGAGGGGUAAGCGGAAUUCCUAGUGUAGCGGUGAAAUGCGUAGAUAUUAGGAGGAACACCAGUGGCGAAGGCGGCUUACUGGACGGUAACUGACGUUGAG